rnacentral:rRNA from 1 species
UUCCGGUUGAUCCUGCCGGAGGUCACCGCUAUUGGAAUUCGCUUAAGCCAUGCAAGUCUAAAGGACUUCGGUCCUUGGCGGACUGCUCAGUAACACGCGGAUAAUCUGCCCUCGGGAGGGGGAUAAGCUCGGGAAACUGAGUAUAAUACCCCAUAGGCGUAGGAUACUGGAAUGUUCUUACGCUGAAAGUUCCGACGCCCGAGGAUGAGUCUGUGGCCUAUCAGGCUGUAGUGAGUGUAACGGACUCACUAACCGACGACGGGUACGGGCCUUGAGAGAGGUCGCCCGGAGAUGGACUCUGAGACAUGAGUCCAGGCCCUACGGGGCGCAGCAGGCGCGAAAACUUCACAAUGUGGGCAACCACGAUGAGGGAAUUCCAAGUGCUCAUGCUUUGCAUGUGCUGUUUCUUAGCCUAAGUGGCUGGGAGAGUAAGGGCUGGGUAAGACGGGUGCCAGCCGCCGCGGUAAUACCCGCAGCCCGAGUGGUGAUCGGUUUUAUUGGGCCUAAAGCGUCCGUAGCCGGUCUGGUAAAUCUUUGGGUAAAUUGGGCAGCUUAACUGUCCGAAUUCCAAAGAGACUGCCAGACUUGGGACUGGGAGAGGCCAGAGGUACUCCAGGGGUAGGGGUGAAAUCCUGUAAUCCUUGGGGGACCACCAGUGGCGAAGGCGUCUGGCUAGAACGGGUCCGACGGUAAGGGACGAAGCCC